UUCAACCAGCCGAAUGCAACGCUAGUUGAGAAGCGAACAGCUGUCAUUGCUUCAGAAUUUUCUUCUCUUUUGUUAUUUAGCGUCGUAUUUAACAACAUUCCUCCUGCUUGUGUUCAGUAGGUUUGCAUUGGUGUUAUCUGUUCCUCAAGGAUGAACUGGAUUUCUGUCUGGGAUUUGCUGAUAUGCAGCUCUUGGGAGAAAAACUCUUUUCCUUGUACUUAGUUCUUACUAGAAGGGCACUCUAAGGGUUCUGAGGAUGUCAAACAAGAAAUCAAAGAAGAAGAAACAGAAAAGGGAGGAAAUAAUCCCAUCAAACUCUUCUCGUGACCGUGAGAAGAAGGUGAGAAAUCUGCAACAAA